rnacentral:rRNA from 1 species
AUGAACUCCGCCUCGGCCCCGGGACCGGACGGUCUCCCAGUAGCUUUCUUCAAGACGUUCUGGCCUACCAUCAAGCUCGAGGUCAUGGCCCUCUUUGAGGAAUUCUACUCGGGUUCCAUGGAUUUGGGGCAACUCAACUAUGGGGUGGUGUCCCUCAUCCCCAAGGUCCCGGGCGCCGCCGAUAUUCGCCAGUUCCGCCCCAUCACAGUGAUUAAUGUGAUUUUUAGGAUCCUGGCGAAGGGGUACGCCAAUAGGGUGACCCUCCUCGCGGAUUCGAUCACCCACCCGAACCAAUCCGCCUUCAUUCAAGGCCGGUUUAUCCUUGAUGGGGUGUUGGUGUUCCACGAGGUGCUCCACGAGGUCCAUUUGAAGCGUCAUAAGGCGGUCUUCCUGAAGUUGGACUUCCACAAAGCCUACGACACGGUCCACUGGCCGUUCCUGAGGGAAGUCCUGCUUCGCAAGGGCUUUGACGACCGAUGGGUGACGCGCGUCAUGCAGCUCGUCUCCUGUGGCCGGACGGCUGUGAACAUCAAUGGCGACAUCGGACCCUUCUUCCCUACCCUAUGUGGGGUCCGGCAAGGGGACCCCUUCUCGCCGUUCUUGUUCAACAUGGUUGUGGAUGCCCUGGCUGCCAUCCUA